rnacentral:rRNA from 1 species
AGAGUUUGAUCCUGGCUCAGAUUGAACGCUGGCGGAAUGCUUUACACAUGCAAGUCGAACGGCAGCAUAGGUGCUUGCACCUGAUGGCGAGUGGCGAACGGGUGAGUAAUACAUCGGAACGUGCCCAGUCGUGGGGGAUAACGUAGCGAAAGUUACGCUAAUACCGCAUACGAUCUACGGAUGAAAGCGGGGGACCGUAAGGCCUCGCGCGAUUGGAGCGGCCGAUGUUAGAUUAGGUAGUUGGUGGGGUAAAGGCUCACCAAGCCGACGAUCUAUAGCUGGUCUGAGAGGAUGAUCAGCCACACUGGGACUGAGACACGGCCCAGACUCCUACGGGAGGCAGCAGUGGGGAAUUUUGGACAAUGGGCGCAAGCCUGAUCCAGCCAUUCCGCGUGCAGGACGAAGGCCUUCGGGUUGUAAACUGCUUUUGUACAGAACGAAAAGCUCUGGGUUAAUACCCUGGGGUCAUGACGGUACUGUAAGAAUAAGCACCGGCUAACUACGAGCCAGCAGCCGCGGUAAU